rnacentral:tRNA from 1 species
AUUUAUAUAGUUUAUAAAAACAUUACAUUUUCAUUGUAAAAUUAAAGAAAUUUUCUUUUAUAAAUA